GAUGAACGCUGGCGGCGUGCCUAAUACAUGCAAGUCGAGCGAACAGACGAGGAGCUUGCUCCUCUGACGUUAGCGGCGGACGGGUGAGUAACACGUGGAUAACCUACCUAUAAGACUGGGAUAACUUCGGGAAACCGGAGCUAAUACCGGAUAAUAUAUUGAACCGCAUGGUUCAAUAGUGAAAGACGGUUUUGCUGUCACUUAUAGAUGGAUCCGCGCCGCAUUAGCUAGUUGGUAUGUUAACGGCUUACCAGGGCAACGAUGGGUAGCCGACCUGAGAGGGGGUAGGCCCCACGAGAACGUGGACGCCGUCCCGGCUCCUAAGGGAAGGCGCAGUAGGGAAUCUUUCGCAAAGGGGGGAAAUCUGGCGGAACCAACGCGCGUGGGUUGUGGAAGUGCUCCGGUCGGGAAAACGUUUUAUUAGGGAAGAACAAAUGUGUAAGUAACUAUGCACGUCUUGACGGUACCUAAUCAGAAAGCCACGGCUAACUACGUG
rnacentral:rRNA from 1 species